GGCAACCAUGACAUCACCCUCUGGCUGUUUAGAGCAAAACCAAAGGAAAGCUCAGACAUGGCACAUUAAAGUCUAUUGGAGUUAUUAACUAAAGAAGACAAACAAUAACUCACCAUCCAUAUUUCCGGUCACUCAAAAUGGCUUCCACACAAUAAUCCCGGCUUCGUAUUCCAGCGAUGAUGUCACUUCCGGUUCUCCUGAGAAGACGGCACUUCCAGCUCCACCAUGAUGAUGUCACUUCCGUCCAUCUGCUUGUGAUGUAAUUUCCUGUCAACCUAAUUUCCUGCCACCAUUUUGUAUAAAAACCCAAUGUAUUCAAGUCUCAACUGUCAAAUGUUCUUACUUUUGAUCCUUUUUUGCCAUUUUUAAACUAAUUUUUGUCCCAGGACAUUAUACGGGGUCAUUCCCCAACUCUU